UGGGGAAUUUUGGACAAUGGGCGAAAGCCUGAUCCAGCCAUGCCGCGUGCAGGAUGAAGGCCUUCGGGUUGUAAACUGCUUUUGUACGGAACGAAAAGACUCCUUCUAAUAAAGGGGGUCCAUGACGGUACCGUAAGAAUAAGCACCGGCUAACUACGUGCCAGCAGCCGCGGUAAUACGUAGGGUGCGAGCGUUAAUCGGAAUUACUGGGCGUAAAGCGUGCGCAGGCGGUUAUAUAAGACGGAUGUGAAAUCCCCGGGCUCAACCUGGGACCUGCAUUUGUGACCGUAUAGCUAGAGUACGGUAGAGGGGGAUGGAAUUCCGCGUGUAGCAGUGAAAUGCGUAGAUAUGCGGAGGAACACCGAUGGCGAAGGCAAUCCCCUGGACCUGUACUGACGCUCAUGCACGAAAGCGUGGGGAGCAAACA
rnacentral:rRNA from 1 species